GUUGGUAUUUCUCGUGACGAAUAUGCCUACUUCUACGCUACCUCAGAAGGGGCAGUUAGUCUCAACGCUGAUCCGGAAUUCUAUGAAAGCGUUUAUGCUAAAACAAGUUUAGGUGUGUCUGUGGCCUCCAUUGUGUUCAUGGGGAUUUUGGCUGGCUUCUUUUGCCGCUACCAAAAGCUUCCUUCGAGUACUGAAGAGUUUAUAACCGCUAGGGGUACUCAAGGACUUUGGCUUAUUGCUUAUAGCUAUUUUGCAACAAGUUUGGGAUCUUGGCUCCUUACCUUGCCUGCCAGCUAUGCU